rnacentral:lncRNA from 1 species
UUAUACACACGCUACACACUUGAGAUACUUACCAUCUCAUAGUUCUCUUCUAAAAUUAUAGUGUCCCGACUACUUGCUCGCACUUUGGCUUUAUAAGACUACUUCUUCCUUUUCUUGUUUCCUUGAAACUGGUAUGUUCUAGUUUGGUUUAAGCCUCAUCCCAAUGUGUUUAUUUUAGCCUUUGCAUCUAUGUCCACUUUACUGUCUAUGUAGAUUUAAAUGUUAAAUAUUCAUGCUAUUUUCUUUGCAUUUGUUUCUAUUGUGAAUCCAUGUACCAUUGUUCCCCUCUAUGUUCUUUGAGUUAAAUUUCAGAACAUGGCAACAUGCAAGUUUCAUGUUAGGACUCGAUCCCUUAGGGGAUCCUAACUCCCAAAUAAUGUGGCCUAACAGGCUGGUUGGGUGUGCCAGCACUUCCAAUUGCUACGUAUG